CGCCUGUUUAUCAAAAACAUAACCAUAUGUGGGUAAUAUAUGGCAUUUUCUGCUCAAUGAUAUUUAAAUAGCCGCAGUACUCUGACUGUGCAAAGGUAGCAUAAUAAUUUGGCUUAUAAUUGAAGUCUUGUAUGAACGAAUACAUGGGGAAUAACUAUAUCAACAAUGUAAAAUGAAAUUACUAAAUACGUGCAAAUACGUAUAUUUACAUAAAAGACGAGAAGACCCUAGAAAUUUUUACUAUUUACGUUAACUGUUUUUGCUGGGGCGGCAUAGUAACAUGAAACUUACAUUAUUAUACAAGAAGUGAUAAUUUGCAGAAUGAUUAAAUUACUCUAGGGAUAACAGCAUAAUUUACUAUAGUUUGUGACCUCGAUGUUGGAUUAGGAAGUUGAAAUUUAGAAGAUUUACAAAUUCGCUCUGUUCGAGCAAUUUUAUCCUACGUGAUCUGAGUUCAAAC
rnacentral:rRNA from 1 species